AGAGUUUGAUCAUGGCUCAGAAUCAACGCUGGCGGCGCGCUUAACACAUGCAAGUCGAACGAGAAAGGGGAGCAAUCCCUGAGUACAGUGGCGUACGGGUGAGUAACACGUGGAUGAUCUACCUUCUGGUGAGGAAUAACCAUGGGAAACCGUGGCUAAUACCGCAUAAGCUCGAGAGAGGAAAGCAGCAAUGCGCCGGAAGAGGAGUCCGCGGCCGAUUAGCUAGUUGGCAGGGUAAAAGCCUACCAAGGCGAAGAUCGGUAGCCGGCCUGAGAGGGCACACGGCCACACUGGCACUGAAACACGGGCCAGACUCCUACGGGAGGCAGCAGUGGGGAAUCUUGCACAAUGGGGGCAACCCUGAUGCAGCGACGCCGCGUGAGCGAUGAAGCCCUUCGGGGUGUAAAGCUCUUUCGGCAGGGAAGAUGAUGACGGUACCUGCAGAAGCAGCUGCGGCUAACUACGUGCCAGCAGCCGCGGUAAUACGUAGGCAGCGAGCGUUGUUCGGAGUUACUGGGCGUAAAGGGUGUGUAGGCGGUUGUUCAAGUUUGGUGUGAAAUCUCCCGGCUCAACCGGGAGGGUGCGCCGAAUACUGAAUGACUCGAGUGCGGGAGAGGAGAGUGGAAUUCCUGGUGUAGCGGUGAAAUGCGUAGAUAUCAGGAGGAACACCGGUGGUGUAGACGGCUCUCUGGACCGUAACUGACGCUGAGACACGAAAGCGUGGGUAGCAAACAGGAUUAGAUACCCUAGUAGUCC
rnacentral:rRNA from 1 species